AACGAACGCUGGCGGUAUGCCUAACACAUGCAAGUCGAACGAGAUCUUCGGGUCUAGUGGCGCACGGGUGCGUAACGCGUGGGAAUCUGCCCUUUGGUUCGGAAUAACAGUUGGAAACGACUGCUAAUACCGGAUGAUGACGAAAGUCCAAAGAUUUAUCGCCAGAGGAUGAGCCCGCGUAGGAUUAGCUAGUUGGUGUGGUAAAGGCGCACCAAGGCGACGAUCCUUAGCUGGUCUGAGAGGAUGAUCAGCCACACUGGGACUGAGACACGGCCCAGACUCCUACGGGAGGCAGCAGUGGGGAAUAUUGGACAAGGGGCGAAAGCCUGAUCCAGCAAUGCCGCGUGAGUGAUGAAGGCCUUAGGGUUGUAAAGCCCUUUUACCCGGGAUGAUAAUGACAGUACCGGGAGAAUAAGCUCCGGCUAACUCCGUGCCAGCCGCCGCGGUAAAAC
rnacentral:rRNA from 1 species